UCCCUGGUGGCUCAGAAGGUAAAGCAUCUGCCUACAAUGCAGGAGACCCGGGUUCAGUUCCUGGGUAGGGAU
rnacentral:tRNA from 1 species